rnacentral:rRNA from 1 species
AUUGAACGCUGGCGGCAUGCCUUACACAUGCAAGUCGAACGGUAACAGGUCUUCGGAUGCUGACGAGUGGCGAACGGGUGAGUAAUACAUCGGAACGUGCCUAGUAGUGGGGGAUAACUACUCGAAAGAGUGGCUAAUACCGCAUGAGAUCUACGGAUGAAAGCAGGGGAUAGCAAGACCUUGUGCUACUAGAGCGGCCGAUGGAAGAUUAGGUAGUUGGUGGGAUAAAAGCUUACCAAGCCGACGAUCUGUAGCUGGUCUGAGAGGACGAUCAGCCACACUGGGACUGAGACACGGCCCAGACUCCUACGGGAGGCAGCAGUGGGGAAUUUUGGACAAUGGGCGCAAGCCUGAUCCAGCAAUGCCGCGUGCAGGAUGAAGGCCUUCGGGUUGUAAACUGCUUUUGUACGGAACGAAAAGCCCUGGGUUAAUACCCUGGGGUCAUGACGGUACCGUAAGAAUAAGCACCGGCUAACUACGUGCCAGCAGCCGCCGUAAGAC